rnacentral:rRNA from 1 species
UGGAUCCAGACUUUGAUUCUGGCUCAGGAUGAACGCUGGCGGCGUGCUUAACACAUGCAAGUCGAACGGACUCAUAUUGAAACCUAGUGAUUUAUGAGUUAGUGGCGGACGGGUGAGUAACGCGUGGAAAACCUGCCGUAUACCGGGGGAUAACACUUAGAAAUAGGUGCUAAUACCGCAUAAGCGCACAGCUUCGCAUGAAGCAGUGUGAAAAACUCCGGUGGUAUACGAUGGUUCCGCGUCUGAUUAGCUAGUUGGCGGGGUAACGGCCCACCAAGGCAGCGAUCAGUAGCCGGCCUGAGAGGGUGAACGGCCACAUUGGGACUGAGACACGGCCCAAACUCCUACGGGAGGCAGCAGUGGGGAAUAUUGCACAAUGGGGGAAACCCUGAUGCAGCGACGCCGCGUGAGUGAAGAAGUAUUUCGGUACGUAAAGCUCUAUCAGCAGGGAAGAAAUACCGGCCUUGCGGCCGGCAGACGGUACCUGAUUAAGAAGCCCCGGCUAACUACGUGCCAGCAGCCGCGGUAAUACGUAGGGGGCAAGCGUUAUCCGGAUUUACUGGGUGUAAAGGGAGCGUAGACGGCAGCGCAAGUCUGAAGUGAAAUGCCGGGGCCCAACCCCGGAACUGCUUUGGAAACUGUGCAGCUGGAGUGCAGGAGAGGUAAGUGGAAUUCCUAGUGUAGCGGUGAAAUGCGUAGAUAUUAGGAGGAACACCAGUGGCGAAGGCGGCUUACUGGACUGUAACUGACGUUGAGGCUCGAAAGCGUGGGGAGCAAACAGGAUUAGAUACCCUGGUAGUCCACGCUGUAAACGAUGAUUACUAGGUGUCGGGGGACCAAGGUCCUUCGGUGCCGGCGCAAACGCAUUAAGUAAUCCACCUGGGGAGUACGUUCGCAAGAAUGCAACUCAAAUGAAUUGACGGA